rnacentral:rRNA from 1 species
AGUGAACGCUGGCGGUAGGCCUAACACAUGCAAGUCGAACGGCAGCACAGUAAGAGCUUGCUCUUACGGGUGGCGAGUGGCGGACGGGUGAGGAAUACAUCGGACUCUACUUUUUCGUGGGGGAUAACGUAGGGAAACUUACGCUAAUACCGCAUACGACCUACGGGUGAAAGCAGCGGAUCUUCGGACCUUUCGCGAUUGAACGCGCCGAUGCCGGAUUUGCUAGUUGGCGGGGUAAUGGCCCACCAGGGCGCCGAUCCGUAGCUGGACUGAGAGGAGGAUCGGCCGCAUUGGAACUGAGACACGCGCAAGGCUACUACGGGAGGCAGCAGUGGGCAAUGGUAGGCAAUGGGCGCAAACCUGACCCAACCAUACCGCGUCGGUGAAGAAAGCCCUCGGGGUGGAAAGCCCUUUUGUUGGGAAAGAAAAGCAGCAGGUUAGGACCCCGCUGUUCUGACGGUACCCAAAGAAUAAGCACCGGCUAACUUCGUG